CCUACGGGAGGCAGCAGUGGGGAAUAUUGCACAAUGGGCGCAAGCCUGAUGCAGCGACGCCGCGUGAGGGAUGACGGCCUUCGGGUUGUAAACCUCUUUCACCAGGGACGAAGCGUGAGUGACGGUACCUGGAGAAGAAGCACCGGCCAACUACGUGCCAGCAGCCGCGGUAAUACGUAGGGUGCGAGCGUUGUCCGGAAUUACUGGGCGUAAAGAGCUCGUAGGCGGUUUGUCGCGUCGUCUGUGAAAUUCUGCAACUCAAUUGCAGGCGUGCAGGCGAUACGGGCAGACUUGAGUACUACAGGGGAGACUGGAAUUCCUGGUGUAGCGGUGAAAUGCGCAGAUAUCAGGAGGAACACCGGUGGCGAAGGCGGGUCUCUGGGUAGUAACUGACGCUGAGGAGCGAAAGCGUGGGUAGCGAACAGGAUUAGAUACCCCAG
rnacentral:rRNA from 1 species